rnacentral:rRNA from 1 species
UACGUAGGGCGCAAGCGUUGUCCGGAAUUAUUGGGCGUAAAGAGCUCGUAGGCGGUUUGUCGCGUCUGCUGUGAAAACCUAAGGCUCAACCUUGGGCUUGCAGUGGGUACGGGCAGACUAGAGUGCGGUAGGGGUAACUGGAAUUCCUGGUGUAGCGGUGGAAUGCGCAGAUAUCAGGAGGAACACCGAUGGCGAAGGCAGGUCACUGGGCCGCAACUGACGCUGAGGAGCGAAAGCAUGGGGAGCGAACAGG